UGGGGAAUAUUGCACAAUGGGCGCAAGCCUGAUGCAGCCAUGCCGCGUGUAUGAAGAAGGCCUUCGGGUUGUAAAGUACUUUCAGCGAGGAGGAAGGCGAUGUGGUUAAUAACCGCAACGAUUGACGUUACUCGCAGAAGAAGCACCGGCUAACUCCGUGCCAGCAGCCGCGGUAAUACGGAGGGGGCACGCGUUAAUCGGACUUACUGGGCGUAAAGCGCACGCAGGCGGUCUGUCAAGUCGGAUGUGAAAUCCCCGGGCUCAACCUGGGAACUGCAUCCGAAACUGGCAGGCUAGAGUCUUGUAGAGGGGGGUAGAAUUCCAGGUGUAGCGGUGAAAUGCGUAGAGAUCUGGAGGAAUACCGGUGGCGAAGGCGGCCCCCUGGACAAAGACUGACGCUCAGGUGCGAAAGCGUGGGGAGCAAACA
rnacentral:rRNA from 1 species